rnacentral:rRNA from 1 species
GUGAGGAAUUUUCCGCAAUGGGCGAAAGCCUGACGGAGCAAUGCCGCGUGAAGGAUGAAGGCCUAUGGGUUGUAAACUUCUUUUCUCAGAAAAGAAUUAUGACGGUAUCUGAGGAAUAAGCAUCGGCUAACUCUGUGCCAGCAGCCGCGGUAAGACAGAGGAUGCAAGCGUUAUCCGGAAUGAUUGGGCGUAAAGCGUCUGUAGGUUGUUUAAAAAGUAUUCUGUCAAAGAUUAGGGCUUAACCCUAGAUAGGCAGAAUAAACUUUUAGGCUAGAGUUUGGUAGAGGCAGAGGGAAUUCCCGGUGGAGCGGUGAAAUGCGUAGAUAUCGGGAGGAACACCAAAGGCGAAGGCACUCUGCUGGGCCAAUACUAACACUGAGAGACGAAAGCGAGGGGAGCAAAUGGGAUUAGAUACCCCUGUAGUCC